rnacentral:lncRNA from 1 species
GCCGAAACUUGGUGGUAAGCCUCUUCUCCCCCUCCGAGUUCUUCCGCUUUGCUUUGGACGAUAUAUGUUCAUGUCAUUAUUGUUCAUUAAUAUCUUCUAUUGUUCUAGCUGAUAAUCUUGACUUUUCCGGUGUUCAUGGAGGUAGCUAAGGUAUACCUAUUAUGUAGUCGACGAGGAGGCUUACCUAUGAUGCCCGUGCAAUUGAAAUGUUUGUAGGCCAGCCUGUGAUGUUAAGUUGGAGGCUUACUUAUGAUGUUAGGUUGUUGUACACGGAAAUUUUGUGGGAUAGUUUGCAGAUUGGGAGUUAUGUUUUUUUGGUUGGUUUUUUAGAUUGUUGUAGUUAAAAUAUGAGAUGGAAGGCACACAUUGAAUACCGAGCUAUGUUACAAAUUUAUAGAUGGCCAGUCUAUAGAUUAUAGGUAUGAGUGGACUAAGUGAGAAAAUACAUGAUUGUAGGUUGCUAAUUAUGCGUCUGUGUUCAUGUGUGCGUGUUGUUAUUACUGGAAGAGGUGGAUUAGGGUGCACUGUUGAAGCAUUUUGAUUGCCCCGAGAGAAAUGAGUACACUGCAACAAACAACGGUUUGCUUACUAACCUCAUAAAUAUUUCAAGUGUAAGUCUCUAACUACAUGAAUAUUGGUGUGCAUGGAGCAUUUUAUUUCAAGUGUAAGUCUCUAACUAUUCAGCAUUCACAACAUGGAGCAUUUUAUGGAUUAUGAUUCUCCGAGUACAGCUACAUUUAGUUCCCACUACUUGUAACAACCAGGCUGGACUGUUUUGUGUUGACUGCUGUCAAAUACAUGAACCUGAAUGCUCAUAUAUGCUUUGUAUUUAAUGUAUACUUGUGUAGAAAAAUAAAGUGGGUCUUCAACUGUUCAAGACAGUUAUGGCUAAUGCUAGCUUCAAAAUGAGUCCCAGGCUUAACUGUUAAUGUGCAAGCAAAAUAGUAAUAAUUACUCAUGCACUUAGAGUAAUCUAUUCUUCUGGAAAUUAUACAAUCAAUUAAUUACUGUGCCUUCUGCUGUAGCGAUUCUGAGAAAAAAAUAAUCAUAAGGAAAGGUUCUAUGCUCUAAACUGGAGUGAAACAAACACUAUGCAGGGGACAUUUGAAUACUUCGCUGAAAUGCCAAUUAUUGUUCUCUAAAUGAUAGUAAGUUUGAUGCCAUCUGGGCAAUCAACUAAAGUCACAAAUUAUUGUUUUUGAACCAAAUAAGGUAGAUUUAUUAUUUAUCAUGACAACCAAACAUGUUACUGUAGAAAAACAAGUUUGACUAAACUGAAGAACUGAACUGAAAUCAGGAAAGAAAACAUGGCGCAGAACUGCUAAUACUUGUGUUGCAUAAAUCUGUAGGUAGCUCAUUAUUUGCACUGGUAAAGAAUGUGGUGCUAAGUUCUAACAUAGGCUACAAGAGCAGGAGCAUGCCCAUCGAGUUGUCGGGGUGCUCCAGCGUGGGGUGUUUAUCGGGACGGUCACGCUCAUGGGCCACUCGCUGUAGUUAGACUGUUGGACAUGCCUGCCUAGGCGUUUUGGCUUUGAGGACGGUGUCGUGGACGUAUGCGCUCAUGUGCUCUCUGGUGGCAGGGCGAUCAAUGCUGGUUCUGCUCGAGUCCCUCCGUUGCCUCGGGUGAGGCCUCAGCUCCCCGCCUCCUCGUCCCCUCCUUCGACUCAUGCAUCUGAUGCAUUAGCUUGAGAUAAGCCAUUAGCGUAUGGUGUGGAGGUGGCUCUGACAGCAUGAGGUUGUGGUUUAUUGGGCUUAUAGUUUCGACCUCAUUCAGUAAUAUGGAAUGUAUGUUUUGUUUUCUGCUAUAGAGUUUUUUUCUACGCACUAUGAGCUAUGUUAUUAUUUUUUUUGGCAGCACACACUUCCACAGAUGUCCACUUUUAUGCAGCGGUAUAGAAGGAAUUACUGUGGGGAAUUUUUUUAAUACGUAUUUGAAGGAGUGACGCAUCCAGUUGACUCCCAACAACCAAGGCUUCACAGUAAGCUCAAAUGGGAGGGGCUAAAACUCUGAUCGUUUCCUAAAAAAUUCUGUGAACUUCAUAUGGGCCUGAACUAUAGGAUUUCUUGCUUUAUUGAAUUAUCUUUUCACAUGGAUGUUGCGUAUUUCUUCAGUUGUCCUCAACAGGUCUAGAAGAAUGUUUUUGACAUGGUUAGAAUAGUUUGAGCCCCUCGCUUUUGUAUUGAAAAGAUAGAGCGGAACCUGAAACACUACAACAUUAGCUUUUGUAAGAAUCAGCGGAAAUUCAUAUUGCGCGAGCCCUAAGAUAAAGAAUGGUCGCAAAUAUUGUUUAUGUCUCUGGGAAUAUAGUGGUACUAUUACGCCGUGUUCUUGAUCUUAAUAGUCAACUGCUUCGGCAUGCAUGGUAGAGCAAACAAGAAGCUAAUCUGCUGUUACUAACAGCUGGCAACCUAAUGAA